rnacentral:rRNA from 1 species
AGAGUUUGAUCAUGGCUCAGGACGAACGCUGGCGGCGUGCUUAACACAUGCAAGUCGAGCGGUAAGGCCCCUUCGGGGGUACACGAGCGGCGAACGGGUGAGUAACACGUGAGCAACCUACCCUCAACUUUGGGAUAAGCCUCGGAAACGGGGUCUAAUACCGAAUAUCACCUUCUGUUUCAUGGCGGGGGGUUGAAAGUUCUGGCGGUUGGGGAUGGGCUCGCGGCCUAUCAGCUUGUUGGUGGGGUAAUGGCCUACCAAGGCGUCGACGGGUAGCCGGCCUGAGAGGGCGACCGGCCACACUGGGACUGAGACACGGCCCAGACUCCUACGGGAGGCAGCAGUGGGGAAUAUUGCGCAAUGGACGAAAGUCUGACGCAGCAACGCCGCGUGAGGGAUGACGGCCUUCGGGUUGUAAACCUCUUUCAGCAGGGACGAAGCGAGAGUGACGGUACCUGCAGAAGAAGGACCGGCCAACUACGUGCCAGCCGCCGCGGUAAUAC